rfam:Methylacidiphilum fumariolicum SolV, WGS project CAHT01000000 data, contig: 86-2114
GGCAGGGUAGCUCAGUGGUAGAGCGGGGGUUUCAUAAGCCCUAGGUCGAGAGUUCGAUCCUCUCCCCUGCUA